GUGUUGCAUUUAGGAGCCCAGAAAACAUUAGUUAUUUUAGAAAGAAAAUCCGCUGCCGAGAACAAACAGAGACGGCGGAAAGAAAAUCUAAAUCUACCACCUGCGGACAAUUGUUAUGCUUGCCCUGAAUGUGGCAAAAUAUGUAGGUCACAUCUGGGGCUGCGCAACCACGUGACUUGGACUCAAAGACAAGCCUUAUUAUUAUUAGUUUUGAAACGAAGUAUAAUCGACUUGACUUUGAACCCGACGUAGUGACGACAUAGGCAUUGGGAUUAAAGAUUAGGAUUGUAGAUUUUUAGAUCCAGUUAUUGCUAGGCUCUCAAGGGGGAUAACAUUGUCGUAGUGACUGACUCAACUGUGGCCCAUUCUGAAUUAAAGAUUGUUAUGAUGUUUUCAUCUCAAGUGACUGUCCAUUGAGCCUGUUCGUUACUUUUCGCUCUUUGUGACUUCAUGUACAUCGAUAUUUUCGGACUCGCACCUGUAAUACACGAUCUACAAUUAUCAAGCCCAGGGUGAAGAAGGCGUGACUAAAAUACUAAAGUUAGUUGAAGCAGAGCUGGCAAAGUUAAAGAUAAAGUAUGCUGUAAGUUAUUUGACUAAUUUCAUGAGAAGCAACAAACAACUGAAAUAAAUCAGCCAAAUGUUCCUCAUUCUUCGAGGACUCCCUUUUUAAUUACCCGAGGCACUCACUUGGAUGGCUGCCUGGUCGUGCGGUUUGCGCGCUGGACUGUCGUUCGGAUUUAUCGACGGUCGAGGGUUCAAACCCUGCCCGCUAUCAUCCCCCGUCGUCCUGCGGGAGGUUUGGACUAGGAAGUAAACUAUCUUCAACUCUGAAGGAACAUCCGAAACAUGUCAAACAAAACAAAACAAGCCUGUAAUUUUGUUUAAGACUAAAGCAAGACCUUGGAAAUUGUUUGUAAGGAGGAAAAAACGCAUGUCGUCCUGGCAUUUUGCGUCAUAGAAAUGCAUCGCACCAUUGAACUCCUAUGUUAGCUUGUUGGUUUUUUUUUGGUUAGUUAAAUAUAUUUAAAUGUUUGACAUAUGUUGGUAAUAUUUUCUAAAUGUUCAUAUUAUCUCUGGUUAUAUUCUUCUUCUAAAUCUGUUUUCUCAUUCAAAAUUGUAUACUUGUAUAUUUAUAUUAGC